rnacentral:rRNA from 1 species
AGAAUCAACGCUGGCGGCGUGCCUAACACAUGCAAGUCGCACGAGAAAGGGGAGCAAUCCCUGAGUACAGUGGCGCACGGGUGAGUAACACGUGAAUCAUCUACCUCCGAGUGGGGAAUAACUGAGAGAAAUCUUAGCUAAUACCGCAUAACACUUACGAGUCAAAGCAGCAAUGCGCUUGGAGAGGAGUUCGCGGCAGAUUAGUUAGUUGGCGGGGUAAUGGCCCACCAAGACGAUGAUCUGUAUCCGGCCUGAGAGGGCGCACGGACACACUGGAACUGAAACACGGUCCAGACUCCUACGGGAGGCAGCAGUGGGGAAUUUUGCGCAAUGGGGAAACCCUGACGCAGCAACGCCGCGUGGAGGAUGAAGCCCCGUUGGGUGUAAACUCCUUUCGAUCGGGAAGAUAAUGACGGUACCGAUAUAAGAAGCCCCGGCUAACUUCGUGCCAGCAGCCGC